rnacentral:rRNA from 1 species
AGAGUUUGAUCCUGGCUCAGAUUGAACGCUGGCGGCGUGCUUUACACAUGCAAGUCGAACGGCAGCAUGCCUAGCAAUAGGUGAUGGCGAGUGGCGGACGGGUGAGUAAUACAUCGAGACAUGCCUUAUAGUUGGGGAUAACUCAUCGAAAGAUGAGCUAAUACCGAAUAAUCUCUGAGGAGGAAAGCCGGGGACCUGCGAGGGCCUGGCGCUAUUAGAGUGGUCGAUGGUCGAUUAGUUAGUUGGCGGGGUAAAGGCCCACCAAGGCAAUGAUCGAUAGCUGUUCUGAGAGGAAGAUCAGCCACACUGGGACUGAGACACGGCCCAGACUCCUACGGGAGGCAGCAGUGGGGAAUUUUGGACAAUGGGGGCAACCCUGAUCCAGCAACGCCGCGUGAAUGAAGAAGGCCUUAGGGUUGUAAAGUUCUUUUGUCUGGGAGCAAAAUGCGUGGGUUAAUAACCCAUGUAGAUGAGAGUACCAGAAGAAUAAGCACCGGCUAACUACGUGCCAGCAGCCGCGGUAAUACGUAGGGUGCGAGCGUUAAUCGGAAUUACUGGGCGUAAAGGGUGCGCAGGCGGAUAUAUAAGUUAGAUGUGAAAUCCCCGAGCUUAACUUGGGAAUGGCAUUUAAGACUGUAUAUCUAGAGUUUGUCAGAGGGGGGUAGAAUUCCAAGUGUAGCAGUGAAAUGCGUAGAGAUUUGGAGGAAUACCGGUGGCGAAGGCGGCCCCCUGGGAUAGAACUGACGCUCAGGCACGAAAGCGUGGGUAGCAAACAGGAUUAGAUACCCUGGUAGUCCACGCCCUAAACGAUGUCUACUUGCUGUUGGGGGUAAAACCUUAGUAGCGAAGCUAACGUGAGAAGUAGACCGCCUGGGGAGUACGGCCGCAAGAUUAAAACUCAAAGGAAUUGACGGGGACCCGCACAAGCGG